rnacentral:rRNA from 1 species
GUGGAUUAGAUACCCUGGUAGUCCACGCUGUAAACGAUGGAUGCUGGGUGUGGGAUUCAAUACGGAAUUCCGUGCCGAAGCUAACGCAUUAAGCAUCCCGCCUGGGGAGUACGGUCGCAAGACUAAAACUCAAAGGAAUUGACGGGGGCCUGCACAAGCGGUGGAGUAUGUGGUUUAAUUCGACGCAACGCGCAGAACCUUACCUGGGUUUGACAUCCCGCGACAGCCCUAGAAAUAGGGUUUCCCCUUCGGGGGCGCGGAGACAGGUGCUGCAUGGUCGUCGUCAGCU